rnacentral:rRNA from 1 species
CCUACGGGGGGCUGCAGUAGGGAAUAUUGCUCAAUGGGGGAAACCCUGAAGCAGCAACGCCGCGUGGAGGAUGAAGGUUUUCGGAUUGUAAACUCCUUUUGUUAGAGAAGAUAAUGACGGUAUCUAACGAAUAAGCACCGGCUAACUCCGUGCCAGCAGCCGCGGUAAUACGGAGGGUGCAAGCGUUACUCGGAAUCACUGGGCGGAAAGAGCGCGCAGGCGGGAUAGCAAGUCAGAUGUGAAAUCCUAUGGCUUAACCAUAGAACUGCAUUUGAAACUGUUAUUCUAGAGUAUGGGAGAGGUAGGUAGAAUUCUUGGUGUAGGGGUAAAAUCCGUAGAGAUCAAGAGGAAUACUCAUUGCGAAGGCGACCUGCUAGAACAUAACUGACGCUGAUGCGCGAAAGCGUGGGGAGCAAACAGGAUUAGAUACCCCGGUAGUC